rnacentral:rRNA from 1 species
CCUACGGGGGGCUGCAGUGGGGAAUAUUGGACAAUGGGGGCAACCCUGAUCCAGCCAUGCCGCGUGUGUGAAGAAGGCCCUCGGGUUGUAAAGCACUUUCAGUGAGGAAGAACGCCUGGUGGUUAAUACCCAUCAGGAAAGACAUCACUCACAGAAGAAGCACCGGCUAACUCCGUGCCAGCAGCCGCGGUAAUACGGAGGGUGCGAGCGUUAAUCGGAAUUACUGGGCGUAAAGCGCGCGUAGGUGGCUUGAUAAGCCGGUUGUGAAAGCCCCGGGCUCAACCUGGGAACGGCAUCCGGAACUGUCAAGCUAGAGUGCAGGAGAGGAAGGUAGAAUUCCCGGUGUAGCGGUGAAAUGCGAAGAGAUCGGGAGGAAUACCAGUGGCGAAGGCGGCCUUCUGGACUGACACUGCCACUGAGGUGCGAAAGCGUGGGUAGCAAACAGGAUUAGAUAACCUAGUAGGC